rnacentral:rRNA from 1 species
GGAACGGCUGGCGGCGUGGAUUAGGCAUGCAAGUCGGACGGUAGGGCUUUAUCGUAAGAUAGAGUUUGAGAGUGGCGAACGGGUGAGUAACACGUAGGAAUCUACCCUUAAGACGGGGACAACCCAGGGAAACUUGGGCUAAUACCGGAUGAGAGUGCGAGAGAUUGCAUUUAAAAGGAUGGCGAAAGUUGUCGCUUAGGGAUGAGCCUGCGGUCUAUUAGUUAGUUGGUGAGGUAAGAGCUCACCAAGGCGAUGAUAGAUAGGCGGCCUUAACGGGUGGUCGCCCACACUGGGAUUGAGAUACGGCCCAGACUCCUACGGGAGGCAGCAGCUAAGAAUAUUCCGCAAUGGACGAAAGUCUGACGGAGCGACGCCGCGUGGAUGAAGAAGGCCGAAAGGUUGUAAAGUUCUUUUGCUAGGGGAGAAUAAGUGAGGGAGGGAAUGCCCUCAUGAUGACAAGGACUAGCGAAUAAGCCCCGGCCAACUACGUG